rnacentral:rRNA from 1 species
GGGUCAGUAGGUUGGUCGUGCCACCGGUACGUACUGGUCUCACUGAUUCCUCCUUCCUGAAGAACCGUAAUGCCAUUAAUUUGGUGUUGCGGGGAAGCAGGACUGUUACUUUGAAAAAAUUAGAGUGUUUAAAGCAAGCUAACGCUUGAAUACAUUAGUAUGGAAUAAUGAAAUAGGACGAUCGAUCCUAUUUUGUUGGUUUCUAGGAUUGACGUA